GAAAUAUGAGGAAACCUCAGAUUUAAUUGUUCAUAAGCACAAACUGAAAUUGAUGUGAAAUUGGUAAGUAUGUUUGGUUAUUACGGUUUUUUUUUAAGGUGUUAGAACAAAUUUGAUAUGGCAGUAGCUAAUCUAACCAUUUGUUUAAGUUAUUGCCUUGAUAUGAGAUUUAGGAUAUUAUCAAUUAAGUUCUUGUUGAGAAAGGAGUUCAUUGGCCUGUAAUGUACAGGCUAUAUUCAGAAAUCUGAUUUCUUUAGCUUGGCAGGGGCUAGUUGGUAAGAUUUUAUGAGUUUUGCUAAAUGAGUUUAUAUUAAUGCUAUAUAUUUAUGAU
rnacentral:lncRNA from 1 species